UAGGGAAUCUUCGGCAAUGGGGGGAACCCUGACCGAGCAACGCCGCGUGAGUGAAGAAGGUUUUCGGAUCGUAAAGCUCUGUUGUUAAGGAAGAACGAGUGUGAGAAUGGAAAGUUCAUGCUGUGACGGUACUUAACCAGAAAGGGACGGCUAACUACGUGCCAGCAGCCGCGGUAAUACGUAGGUCCCGAGCGUUGUCCGGAUUUAUUGGGCGUAAAGCGAGCGCAGGCGGUUAGAUAAGUCUGAAGUUAAAGGCAGUGGCUCAACCAUUGUAGGCUUUGGAAACUGUUUAACUUGAGUGCAGAAGGGGAGAGUGGAAUUCCAUGUGUAACGGUGAAAUGCAUAGAUAUAUGGAGGAACACCAGUGGCGAAGGCGACUCUCUGGUCUGUAACUGACGCUGAGGCUCGAAAGCGUGGGUAGCAAACAGG
rnacentral:rRNA from 1 species